UCAAAUCAGGUAGACUACCCGCUGA
rnacentral:rRNA from 1 species